GGCACUUUGGCGGAGUGGUUAACGCGAUGCCCUGCUAUUGGAUUGAUGAUAAGAAGGCAUUCCUUUCGGGGGCGUGUGUUCGAAUCACACAGGUGUCG